UACGUAGGGGGCGAGCGUUGUCCGGAUUUAUUGGGCGUAAAGAGCGUGUAGGCGGCCAGGUAGGUCCGUUGUGAAAACUCGAGGCUCAACCUCGAGACGUCGACGGAAACCAUCUGGCUAGAGUCCGGAAGAGGAGAGUGGAAUUCCUGGUGUAGCGGUGAAAUGCGCAGAUAUCAGGAAGAACACCCGUGGCUAAGGCGGCUCUCUAGUACGGUACUGACGCUGAGACGCGAAAGCGUGGGGAGCGAACAGG
rnacentral:rRNA from 1 species